rnacentral:rRNA from 1 species
GACGAACGCUGGCGGCGUGCUUAACACAUGCAAGUCGAACGGCAAGGCCCUGCUUUUGUGGGGUGCUCGAGUGGCGAACGGGUGAGUAACACGUGAGUAACCUGCCCUUGACUUUGGGAUAACUUCAGGAAACUGGGGCUAAUACCGGCUAGGAGCUCCUGCUGCAUGGUGGGGGUUGGAAAGUUUCGGCGGUUGGGGAUGGACUCGCGGCUUAUCAGCUUGUUGGUGGGGUAGUGGCUUACCAAGGCUUUGACGGGUAGCCGGCCUGAGAGGGUGACCGGCCACAUUGGGACUGAGAUACGGCCCAGACUCCUACGGGAGGCAGCAGUGGGGAAUAUUGCACAAUGGGCGGAAGCCUGAUGCAGCAACGCCGCGUGCGGGAUGACGGCCUUCGGGUUGUAAACCGCUUUCGCCUGUGACGAAGCGUGAGUGACGGUAAUGGGUAAAGAAGCACCGGCUAACUACGUG